rnacentral:rRNA from 1 species
AAUAAGCGGAGGAAGAUUCCGUAGGUGAACCUGCGGAUAUGCAUAUCAAUAAGCGGAGGAAGAUUCUGAUAUGUAGCACUCUGCAGUUACUACAUCUCAAUAAGCGGAACUUUCUUCCACGGAUCUCUUGGUUCUGGCAUCUAUGAAGAACGCAGCAAAAUGCGAUAAGUAAUGUGAAUUGCAGAAUUCAGUGAAUCAUCGAAUCUUUGAACGCACAUUGCGCCCGCUGGUAUUCCGGCGGGCAUGCCUGUUCGAGCGUCAUUUCAACCCUCAAGCCCCCGGGUUUGGUGUUGGGGAUCGGCUCUGCCUCACGGCGGUGCCGCCCCCGAAAUACAUUGGCGGUCUCGCUGCAGCCUCCAUUGCGUAGUAGCUAACACCUCGCAACUGGAACGCGGCGCGGCCAUGCCGUAAAACCCCAACUUCUGAAUGUUGACCUCGGAUCAGGUAGGAAUACCCGCUGAACUUAAGCAUAUCAAUAGCCGGAAGGAAGCCUCCCCGG